GUUUGAUAUUUGGUAUAUUUCAUACGUGUUACAGAAGUAUGAAAAAUAUUUUGUAUUACAUUUAACUUCUGUUACAGAACUAUGAAAAAUAUUUUCUAUAUUUCACAUUUAUUACAGAACUUUGAAAAAUAUUUGGUAUAUUUCACUUGUGUUACAGAAUUAAAAAAAAAUGUUUGGUACAUUUCACUUGUAUUACAGAACUAUGAAAAAUAUUUUCUAUAUUUAACUUGUUUUACAGAAUAUAAAAACAAUGUUUGGUAUAUUUCACUUGUGUUACAGAUCUAUGAAAAUAAUGUUUGGUAUAUUUAACUUGUUUUACAGAACUAUGAAAAAUAAUUUAUUUAUUUCACUUUUGUUACAGAACUAUGAAAAAUAUUUGCUAAAUUUCACUUGUGUUACAGAGCUUUUUAAAAAUGAUUUUUUAUAUAUGUCACUUGUAUAUGUUACAGAAUUUGAAAAAAAAAGAAAAUUUUGUAAAGUUCUCUUAUGUAAUAGAACUUUUCCUGUUAAUAAUGUAUACAUGUAUUCUUUGAAAUUUUCACAAAGAGUAACAGUAUUCUGUGUAUUUUGCUUUUGCUCUAUUUUUUUUUUCAGUUAUAUGCUUAACUAACAAGAAAAGGGAAUGUUAGAACUGUAGUUUAAUACACCUUACAAUAUAUCCAUGGGUUGUAGACAAGACAAUAUGUACAUCUUAGUGUGUUUAGGACAAUGCAAGAAUGUUUUUUAUUAUUAAAAGUCUUUAUUUAUUACAAUUGCAUAGUAAGUCCUUAACCGGUGACCCGUGACCUUGCUGGAACCCAAAGUGACUAAUGGUUGCUACCAGUAAAGAGAGAAAUUUGAAUAUAAAAGUCUGUUAAAAUUACCUAAGGGAAAUCAUUUGCUUUAGUUCUAAAGAGUGAAAACUCAUUUUCUUAUACACUGAUACGUUUUUUAUUUAAGGUGAACAAACAUCUUAGAUUUCAUGAAAUGUGUAACAAUGUCAAGAUGUGAAAUUAUUUAUUGUUUUCAUUCAUUUAGAAUCAUUUUGCAGAGAUAAAACUUUGAUGUCAAAAUUGACCCAAGAUUUCCGAAUGCCAAAACUUUGUUUUUGUGCAUGUUGAAUAUGUUUCAUCAUGUCUAUAAAUAACUUUAUUGACUAUAAAUAGCUUUAUGGAACAUUCUUUUAUAUGUAACUCGCAUUUUCAGACACAAAAUUUAGCAUUAAAGAUCUUUCAUGCUGCUCUGAUGCACAAAAUCUUGUCUUAAAAAGUAAAGGGCCUAUUAUGUAAAUAAUUGAUUUUAGAUUUUAUUUCUCCUGCUAAAAAGUCAAUACAAUGUACAGGUGGCUAAUGCCCUAGUUUAAGGGACCAUAACACAUAGUAAAUGAUAGACACACCUUAGCUCAGGUUGAUGACUGUUGAUAAAUAAUCAAUAUUUUGUUGAUAGGUUUCCAAUAUUUUUGAAAGGUUGUCAAUAAUUUUAAUUUUUAUAACUAAUACAAAGUGUAGCUAAUCUGCACAUUUUAACAAUAACAAACACAAAAUGCAAGUAGCAAAUGCAUGUCCACAGGUAGACAAUACAGUUGAUAACUGACCAAUAUCUGUGUAUAGAUUGGUAAAAAAUCAUUAUAUUUAUUCAUUCUUGUUAUUGUAUUAUAUAAUGGGAAUUUGAAAGUGAGUAACUUUAUUAUAGAGUAUAUAACUUAAGAUAACACUUUUUAAUGUAAUAAAGGGAAGUAACUGUGUUUUGACUAGGGUUUUAGUCUAAUAAAGGGAAGUAACUAUGUAUUGACCAGGGUUUUUAUCUAAUAAAGGGAAGUAACUAUAUUUUGACUGAAAAGUUUUCUGUUAUUUUAUUAUUAACAACUUUAUAUAAAUGCUUACAUGGGUUUAAUUUUGAUGAUGAUUUUUUUGGAAAGUGUAUAAGUAUGACGUAUUAUUGACAAUAGAAGUAUAUUUUGUUUUAUACAUGAAUAAAUUUACAAAAAUAAGAGAAUUUUUUAUUGAUUUUGAAAUGGAAAAAUUAACAAUUUUUUUCUAUGUAUAUAAACUGAUUUCAGACCAACAUUCGUAGGCACAUAUUUGUUUUUUGUUAUUUCUUUUAACAGUUUACAUUGAGUAAUAUUUAGGUAUAGAUUGUAAGGAUAUUGGUUAAAGUUGGAAGGAAGUUAUGGGAGGAGGGGGGUAUUGGGGCUAUACAUUCCUAAGUUAUUGUUAUUAAAAUUUUCUGUUUUUACAAUCUAUUUGAGAAGUUUUGUUGUGAUGUUUGCAGGUUGUUAUUUAUUUAUUCAUACCGGUUGCAUUUUACACAAAUAGUUGAAUUAAUAUACAUGCAUUUAUCACAUAUUAUAACAGUAGUUUGAAAGAAAAAUAUUUGAGCCGUGUCAUGACAAAACCAACAUGAUGCGUUUGUGACCAGCAUGGAUCCAGACCAGUCUGAUCGGGAUCCAUGCUGUUUGCUAUCAGUUUCUCUACUUGUAAUAGAGUUGGAAAGUGAACAGCAUGGAUCCUGAUCAGACUGCGCAGAGCGCUGGCUGGUCUGGAUCCAUGCUGGUCGCAAACCCAUUAUGUUGGUUUUUCUAUCGCGGCUCAUUUCUUGAUUUCAUUAUAGAAUGGGUUAAGGGACCAUUGUAAAGUUGUGUUUUAAACUUUAGAAAAUACAGAAUUACAGCAUUAACUUAUUUUUUUACUCUCAUGUUACGCAGUAUUUUUCAUCGAUUAUAAUUUAUAUGCUAUUAAGGUCUUUGAAUGGCCUAUGACAAACUCCUCACAGCGGUUACGUCACGCUUUGCUACUUUAACCACUGCCACCACUGAAAUCACGUGAUGAUAGUUGUAUCAUGUGACAAAAACAUGGCGGCCAGUUUCAGAACGCCAAGGAUCCCAUAUCAAACUGGCAGAUUUAUAAUUACAUCUUACCAGACAAAAUAAGUUCAAGGCACACAAUUUGUUAUCACUUUAAAACAAGUGCCGGAUCAAAUCUUUUUGUGCAAUCGUUCAAUAACUGUUGAUAUUUUGCCAUUGUUUACUAUGCAUACGGUGUCACAGUGAAAAUAUCUUUCGUUAUGUUUACAAAAUAAUUUUUAUACGUAUAUUUUUUUACUUUCUUGUACAUUAAGCAUAACUAUUUAACGAAAGAAAACUAAAAUGAUAUAAAGUAUUAUAUUUUUAAAUUAAAAGUGAAAAAAAUAUAUCCGGCUAUAUUCGACCGAAUUUACUUGUGGUGUCAGUGGUUACUGUACAGAUCAGGGGAAGUAACCGCUGCGAGGAGUUUGGGCCUAUGAAAUUUUGGUUUCAUUAUUUAUUUUAAAAAAAACAAGAACAAGAUGAUAACAGCCAUUCAUUUCUAGUUUUGAAGCGUAACUGCCUAUUUUUUUGUAUGCUUUUAUGUCUUUCAUUCUCUUAGUUUUCUGUUACUGAUUCAUAUAUCACACUCUGAAAAGUAGAUAUAUUUUUGUAUAUUUUACUGAUGAGUGAAGUAUAUAUACCAAAUCUCUUUUCUCAGUUAGAUAUAAUCCAUAUUAUUCACUCCAAAGAAAUAACUGUAUACUGUAUACUUCUAUUUUCUCUAUCUCUCUCACUGUGCAAUAGUCUGAUUAUAUUAACAUUUGAGCCGCGUCAUGACAAAACCAACAUAGUGCGUUUGCGACCAUUAUGGAUCCCGACCAGCCUGCGCAGCUGUUCGCUAUCAGUUUCUGUAUUUGUUAUAGGGUCUGUAAGCGACCAGCAUGGAUCCUGAUCAGACUGCGCGGAUGCGCUGGUCUGGAUCCAUGCUGGUCACAAACGCAUUUUGUUGGUUUUGUCAUGACGCGGCUCAUUCAUACCAUCAUCAGAUACCCUCGGUUGAUUUACAAGUAAACAAAAUGUGGGUAAAAUGAAUCCAUUUGCACCAAAAAAAGCAUUAAAUAUAUCGACCAAUGAAAUUGCAUUAAAGAAAAUUUUUAUUCUUCAACAGUGAAGGUAAAAAUUAUCAGUAACAGUAAAUUUUCUAUGCUUUUUUUUUUGCUGGAAAUCGUUCACAUUUUUACUAUUGAUCGUUUCACAGCUGAACUGAAUUGGUUGCCACAGUUUUAUCUGCAAUGCCGAACAUUGAUUAGAAUGAGCAUUUUGACUGGUUUUAAUCGCCUCAUGAAAUUGUGAGGCAACCAAUGAAAUAGCUGCCUUUGACACAUCUCAAAUCUGCCAAAAAAUCCACGGCUGAUAAAUGUUAAUGAUUCAACUGUGGGUAUCCGAAGAUGCAUUCAUACAAGAGUCAUUAUAUCAUUAUAAGUAAUAUCUCAUUGUUGAUGGGUAGGAAAGUCUUGUUUUAUAUAUAUGAAGAAAAAAAAAUUGGUUGCUAAGGCUAUCUUCCUAAUUGAAAAAAACAUAUAACAUGUUUUCUUGCUUAUAUAUACUGCUUUACAGAAAACAAUUUUUCUUGAAUUGGUUUUCUGCUUAAAUCUUACCAAGAUUUACACAUGUGUGUAUUUUUGCAGUAAAAAUAAUAAUAAAAUAAUAUCAAGGAGCCUGUACUUGAACACUAUGUCACAUAUUUAUAUUUUUACUUUUUGGAUAUUUCUUUAAACAAGAAAUUGUAUGUUGAAACUUCAUUGUUUUUUAAUAACUCUAUAAGUAAUCUUUAAGAAGAAAAAAACAACAAAAAACACGAAAAAUUGAAAACCCUUAAUACAUAUAUCAUUUUUUUCCCCGCAAGAUUUCCUUAGCAACCGCAAGAUUUCCUUAGCAACCGAGCAAUUGAUUUUACGAGGUGACUAUAUUUUGGCACUAAGUCACCCAUUUUUAGUCUGUUAUGUGAAUGGUUAUGUUUCAUAUUGACUUCAGUGCAUUGUUUAAAGGCCCAUUAUGCCCCAGAAAUGCUUUUAUUUUCAUUUCUCAAAAGCUUUCAUUUGUGCCAUGUAAAACUUUCCAAAAAGUCACUCAUUGGCCAAAUGCAUUGUAUCUGAACCAUCUUUUGCAUCUGUUGAUUAAGUAUUUUGAAUGGAAGUCAAAAUACUACUUUGUUUACUUUCUUCAGAAGAUGAGCAUGUAAAAUGCUCUAAAACAUUUAUUUAAAUGUUAAAAACUCACAUUUGACUUUUUUAAAGAAUGAAAAUUUUAUCCAUUUCUGAGGCAUAAUGUGCCUUUAAGUUAAUUUUUUUAAAGAAUUUUUUUAACCUGCAUUUCUUUAUUAAACAUAUUUGAAAUAUAAGUCCGAGUACAUUAUUUUUGAUAUCAUAAAAUUGCAAUAGAAUAGAAAAAGUCACUAAUGUUUUUACUUGUUUAUUUGUUAAAUUAACAUUUUGUACUUUUCUACAAAUGGGAACAAGUUUUCUUUUUGGACUUAUCAAAAGAUGGUCGGUUAGCACACUAAAUAUGUCGUUGUUAAAUAUAAAAAUCGUUACUAAAAUAUAUAAACUGUUGAUAUUGUUUCUAAAAUUGUCAAUGUGAAAUAAAACUGUUGUUAGUAAGUCA